GAACUUAAGCAUAUCAAUAAGCGGAGGAAAAGAAACUAACAAGGAUUCCCCUAGUAACUGCGAGUGAAGCGGGAAAAGCUCAAAUUUAAAAUCUGGCGUGCCUCUGGUCGUCCGAGUUGUAGUUUAGAGAAGCGUUUUCUGUGUUGGACCGUGUAUAAGUCUCUUGGAACAGGGCGUCAUAGAGGGUGAGAAUCCCGUCUUUGACACGGACUACCAAUGCUUUGUGAUACGCUCUCAAAGAGUCGAGUUGUUUGGGAAUGCAGCUCAAAAUGGGUGGUAAAUUCCAUCUAAAGCUAAAUAUAGGCGAGAGACCGAUAGCGAACAAGUACCGUGAGGGAAAGAUGAAAAGCACUUUGGAAAGAGAGUUAAACAGUACGUGAAAUUGCUGAAAGGGAAACGCUUGAAGUCAGUCACGUCUGCCAGGACUCAGCCUUGCUUCUGCUUGGUGUACUUUCUGGUUGGAUGGGCCAACAUCGAUUUCGACCGUUGGAGAAAGGCUUUGGGAAUGUGGCACCUUCGGGUGUGUUAUAGCCCUUUGUCGUAUACAACGGUUGGGAUCGAGGACUGCAGCAUGCCUUCAUGGCCGGGGUUCGCCCACGUACAUGCUUAGGAUGUUGGCAUAAUGGCUUUAAGCGACCCGUCUUGAAACACGGACCAAUGAGUCUAACAUGCCUGCGAGUGUUUGGGUGGAAAACCCAUGCGCGUAAUGAAAGUGAUAGCUGAGAUCCUCUCAUCAGGAGCAUCAGCGCCUGGACUUGAUCUACGGAGACGGUUCUACGGUAGAGCAUGUAUGUUGGGACCCGAAA
rnacentral:rRNA from 1 species